CAGCCUCACACCGUCUGUCGCACUUCAUACUUCUCGAAUACAUCAAACCCUCAACGACAAACGACAGAAAUACUACUGAAUACUAUUAAAGGAUGGUUGAUGUUAUGGAAGUGUGAGACGAGAUAGGAGAAGAUAUUCGAGGACUAAAAUAAUCUCCUUUGACCUCUGCAAGCCUGAAGUACUCUAGCGUGCCCUGCCCUCGCCGUCUGCGUGCGCGUCCCUACCGUUCAUUGGCGGAGACAUGACUGGCGGGGCUGUGAUUGGUCUGAGUGUAGCGUGAGAGGCGUAACAGGUAAUCACAGGUGAGGAGGAAUGGUCACCUUUCACACCCCACGCUUCCCCCACAGGUGAGUCAAUGAACCCUGGUAGCCUCACUCAUGUGUGGACCUCAUGAGUGGAUAUUUUUUUUUAUUUUGUGGGAAUUAUUAUUAUUAUUAUUAUUAUUAUUAUUAUUAUU